rnacentral:tRNA from 1 species
CCGGUGCAGCUCGGUUGGGACGAACUCGAUCAUGCCGAGGCCGUGGCGUCGAAGGGUGCCAAGCUGGCGCUGCACCUGCGCACCGGA